rnacentral:rRNA from 1 species
UGGGGAUAACUCCGGGAAACCGGGGCUAAUACCGAAUAAUAACAAGCGUCGCAUGACGCCUGUUUGAAAGAUGGUUUCGGCUAUCACUUACAGAUGGGCCCGCGGUGCAUUAGCUAGUUGGUAGGGUAAUGGCCUACCAAGGCAACGAUGCAUAGCCGACCUGAGGGGUGAUCGGCCACACUGGGACUGAGACACGGCCCAGACUCCUACGGGAGGCAGCAGCAGUAGGGAAUCUUCCGCAAUGGACGAAAGUCUGACGGAGCAACGCCGCGUGUGUGAAGAAGGUUUUCGGAUCGUAAAGCACUGUUGUUAGAGAAGAACAAGGAUAAGAGUAACUGCUUGUCCCUUGACGGUAUCUAACCAGAAAGCCACGGCUAACUACGUGCCAGCAGCCGCGGUAAUACGUAGGUGGCAAGCGUUGUCCGGAUUUAUUGGGCGUAAAGCGAGCGCAGGCGGUUUCUUAAGUCUGAUGUGAAAGCCCCCGGCUUAACCGGGGAGGGUCAUUGGAAACUGAGAGACUUGAAUGCAGGAGAGGUAAGUGGAAUUCCACGUGUAGCGGUGAAAUGCGUAGAUAUGUGGAGGAACACCAGUGGCGAAGGCGGCUUACUGGCCUGUAAUUGACGCUGAGGCUCGAAAGCGUGGGGAGCAAACAGGAUUAGAUACCCUGGUAGUCCACGCCGUAAACGAUGAGUGCUAAGUGUUAGGGGGUUUCCGCCCCUUAGUGCUGCAGCUAACGCAUUAAGCACUCCGCCUGGGGAGUACGACCGCAAGGUUGAAACUCAAAGGAAUUGACGGGGGCCCGCACAAGUGGUGGAGCAUGUGGUUUAAUUCGAAGCAACGCGAAGAACCUUACCAGGUCUUGACAUCCUUUGAACCUUCUGGAGACAGAACUUUCCCUUCGGGGACAAAGUGACAGGUGGUGCAUGGUUGUCGUCAGCUCGUGUCGUGAGAUGUUGGGUUAAGUCCCGCAACGAGCGCAACCCUUGAUUUUAGUUGCCAGCAUUUAGUUGGGCACUCUAAAGUGACUGCCGGUGCAAGCCGGAGGAAGGUGGGGAUGACGUCAAAUCAUCAUGCCCCUUAUGACCUGGGCUACACACGUGCUACAAUGGAUAAUACAAAGGGUUGCCAAACCGCGAGGUCGAGCUAAUCCCAUAAAAUUAUUCUCAGUUCGGAUUGUAGGCUGCAACUCGCCUACAUGAAGCCGGAAUCACUAGUAAUCGUGGAUCAGCAUGCCACGGUGAAUACGUUCCCGGGCCUUGUACACACCGCCCGUCACACACGAGAGUUUGUAACACCCGAAGUCGGUAGGGUAACCUUUAUGGAGCCAGCCGCCGAAGGUGGGACAGAUAAUUGGGGUGAAGUCGUAACAAGGUAGCCGUAUCGGAAGGUGCGGCUGGAUCACCU